UCGCUCGAUUUCGCAGCGUGAGCCUCGUUCGGUGUCUCGCUUUGUUUUUAUCCCUCGCGUGCCACGCGCCGUGAUGGCGGACGACGCCUCUCGGUGCGUGGCAGCUCAGGGCCCAGUACACACGCCGACUCUCUCUGGGUGGAGGCGAAGCCGCCCGCCGCUCUCUAUCCCUGCCAAAUGCGGAGCCACCUCUGGUGGUGACAGGGUGAGGCGCCUACGACCUGGGGCGAGGUGAGAGCGAUGUGUCGCUGCUGGUGUCGGAUAGCAGGUCCUGGACGGCGUUGCGUCUGAGCGACCUGCGACCGUGGGCACACGUGUGCCAUCCACAUGAUGGGCAGAGUGUCCGCGUCGCUGGAACGCACCCCACCACCCGACCCUCGCACUGCCCGCUGGUGUGGGGAGCCCGAGGCCCCUCCGAGGGGGCUGCAUCACGUGGCGACCGGCAUGAUGUGGGAGCGGCUGUGAGGCGACCUGCGCGAUGCGGCGGCGGUGGUGGUCGGGGCUUGAGGCGGAGGCGGUGCUGAGAUGACUGGGCCGACGCAUUGCUGUACCGCGUGCGCGCACCGCUGCUUCGCAGGGCGGGAUGGGGCCUGCGGCAUGCCGGGGUGGGGUGGCGCUGGAGCUCGUGUUGGACGGCAGAGAUCGGGCACAUUUUAUGAAGGAAAAAUGAGGUGCUUUUUUUUCCGUGGAGGGAUGUGUGUCUGAGCCGAUCGGCAGCCUUUGCCAGCGAAUCUCGUUGUAAGGGACUAGAAGAUUUGGCAAGGCACCAGUUGCGUGCUGUAACUUUUCGCGGGUGCCGUCUCACUGCUUCAUGAAGCCAGGCGCUUAAGGAGGCAUACCCAUCGUGGCAGUAGUUGUGUUCGCAGUCGUAGUCCUUCUAUGAACGGAUACACGGCUACUUGUGUUUGUUACCCUACCCGCCUUUCCCGCGUUUCCCGCCCUUGCCACCUCUUCCUCUCUCCCUCUCCCCAAG
rnacentral:misc_RNA from 1 species